UAAUAAACUAAAACUUUCAACAACGGAUCUCUUGGUUCUGGCAUCGAUGAAGAACGCAGCGAAAUGCGAUAAGUAAUGUGAAUUGCAGAAUUCAGUGAAUCAUCGAAUCUUUGAACGCACAUUGCGCCCCUUGGUAUUCCGAGGGGCAUGCCUGUUCGAGCGUCAUUUCAACCCUCAAGCUCUGCUUGGUAUUGGGCUCCGUCCUCU
rnacentral:rRNA from 2 species